UACGUAGGGUGCAGGCGUUAAUCGGAAUUACUGGGCGUAAAGCGUGCGCAGGCGGUUUUGUAAGUCUGUCGUGAAAGCCCCGGGCUCAACCUGGGAAUUGCGAUGGAGACUGCAAGGCUUGAAUCUGGCAGAGGGGGGUAGAAUUCCACGUGUAGCAGUGAAAUGCGUAGAUAUCGAGAGGAACACCAGUGGCGAAGGCGAGUCCCUGGACAACACCUGACACUGAGGCACGAAAGCUAGGGGAGCAAACAGG
rnacentral:rRNA from 1 species